rnacentral:tRNA from 1 species
GAGGGUAUAGCUCAGUGGUAGAGUGCUCAACUCACAUAGCAUGCAGGAGGUCCUGGGUUCAAUCCCCAGUACCUCCA